GAAAUGAAGGUGAACGCCGGCGCGGUCCGGCGGAGGUUGGAUCCCGUCCCGUGGGGGCGGGCGCACUACCGGCCGAUCUUCUCCGCCCUGUCGGCGAGGUCGAGCGAGAGCGUGCAAGUCGGGACCCGAAAGAUGGUUUUUUAUGCCUGAGGAGGUUGAAGCCAGAGGAAACUCUGGUGGAGGACCGUAGCGAUUGUGACGUGCAAAUCGAUCGUCAAAUUUGGGUAUAGGGGCGAAAGACUAAUCGAACCGUCUAGUAGCUGGUUCCCUUCGAAGUUUCCCUCAGGAUAGCUGGCGCUCUGUCGCAGUUUUAUCUGGUAAAGCGAAUGAUUAGAGGUCUUGGGGGCGAAACGCCCUCAACCUAUUCUCAAACUUUAAAUUGGUAAGAAGCCCGACUCGCUCGUUUGGAGCCGGGCAUGGAAUGCGAGUGCCAAGUGGGCCACUCUUGGUAAGCAGGACUGGCGAUGCGGGAUGAACCGAACGCCGGGUUAAGGCGCCCGACGCGACGCUCAUCAGAGCCCACAAAAGGUGUUGGUUGAUAUAGACAGCAGGACGGUGGCCAUGGAAGUCGGAAACCGCUAAGGAGUGUGUAACAACUCACCUGCCGAAUCAAUCACCCCCCCCCCAGAGGGGGUGUGUUACCCCCCCCACCGCCCCCCCCCCCCCCCCCCCCG
rnacentral:ncRNA from 1 species